ACUGGGCGUAAAGAGCUCGUAGGUGGUUUGUCGCGUUGUUCGUGAAAUCUCACGGCUUAACUGUGAGCGUGCGGGCGAUACGGGCAGACUUGAGUACUGCAGGGGAGACUGGAAUUCCUGGUGUAGCGGUGGAAUGCGCAGAUAUCAUGAGGAACACCGGUGGCGAAGGCGGGUCUCUGGGCAGUAACUGACGCUGAGGAGCGAAAGCGUGGGGAGCGAACAGGAUUAGAUACCCUGGUAGUCCACGCCGUAAACGGUGGGUACUAGGUGUGGGUUUCCUUCCUUGGGAUCCGUGCCGUAGCUAACGCAUUAAGUACCCCGCCUGGGGAGUACGGCCGCAAGGCUAAAACUCAAAGAAAUUGACGGGGGCCCGCACAAGCGGCGGAGCAUGUGGAUUAAUUCGAUGCAACGCGAAGAACCUUACCUGGGUUUGACAUGCACAGGACGCCGGCAGAGAUGUCGGUUCCCUUGUGGCCUGUGUGCAGGUGGUGCAUGGCUGUCGUCAGCUCGUGUCGUGAGAUGUUGGGUUAAGUCCCGCAACGAGCGCAACCCUUGUCUCAUGUUGCCAGCGGGUAAUGCCGGGGACUCGUGAGAGACUGCCGGGGUCAACUCGGAGGAAGGUGGGGAUGACGUCAAGUCAUCAUGCCCCUUAUGUCCAGGGCUUCACACAUGCUACAAUGGCCGGUACAAAGGGCUGCGAUGCCGCGAGGUUAAGCGAAUCCUUUUAAAGCCGGUCUCAGUUCGGAUCGGGGUCUGCAACUCGACCCCGUGAAGUCGGAGUCGCUAGUAAUCG
rnacentral:rRNA from 1 species